GCUACAGCAAAGGGCCACGGCGCAGAUUUGCCGUAGCUAAUGGUCCUCCUUUAACGACUGCAAUUACUGCCGUCGCGAACUCAUAAAUAAAAUGCGACGGCUUUGCAUUCCCGUCGUUUCUGUUCUUAUCAAUUGCGACUGCAUAUACAUGCCGUCGCAUGUACUUCUGUCAAUUGCGACAGAGCUAACAAGCCGUCGCUUGUUUUAGGCAAUAAGAUUCGAGUAUGAGGGGAAAAAAAGAAAAGAAAGAAAGAAAAACGUAAAAGCCAGAUCCAGAUCUGGUUUCCUCUCUUGUUCUCUUCCUCUCGUCACAGAGCAAACACGCAGAGAAACUAAUUCCAUUGUCAUUCCGUCUUCCUCUCAGGUGCGUGAUUCCGGGGUGGGCUAAGUGAGUAAGAUAGAAAGGUCAUUCUCUUUCUCAUCGGAUUGGUUUCAGGCAGACGAAUAAUACGAUUAAGGAAAAGAUUAGAACACCAAAUUGUCUGGCAAUGGUAAGGUAAGCUUAAUCGGUGGUCUAAGGUAAUGGUUGAGUUUUUUUAGUCUGGAUUUUGAGUGAUAAAAGGAUGAAUCAGUUUGGGUUUGUCUUCGACGAUAUCCGAUUUGUCCUUUUUAUGGGUUUGGUUUUGAUUUUGUUUUCUGUCUCCGUUGGUUUUGAACUAAUUGGGUUUUUUUUUUUUUUUUUUUGUGUUGGAGUGCGAGAUGUUUCAGUAGUUGAUGAGAUUCGUCUGAGGUGAUUUGCUUGCUAAAUUCAUUGAACUAAGUUGUGGAGGAGGAACUGUCAGCUAGCUGGUAUAUGUACGAAACAUUUAAUGGACAAAUCCUCCAUCAAGUUGGUAGACACAAAAUAGCUGGAAAUCAUGAAAGAAAAGUAUACUUGGAAAUCUCUCAAAUUGUCUUUGAAGAGCAUGGAUUCCUCUUGUUGAUUGUGAUUGUCUUUGGCCAUCCGAUAUAAUUAUCUGGUGAGAAUAUACCUGUGCUGCAUAUGUGACACUCAGAGAUGCUUAUGCUCUUGAAACUGCUGUUUUGUCAGUAUUCAUCUCAGGACAUUUGCCAGGAGCAAAGAGUAUUGUACAAAUUAAUAUCAGGGGGGUCAAAACAUGGAACUGAUGCAUGAUCGCGUUUUAAAAUAUCCAGAUCGUGUUCAGAAUUUGUACUUCACGUUCCUCUUUGUUCUCCGGGCAGUGACAAAAGUAUGUCCAGAACUACAAGGAAAAGGAGAAGUUGGAGCAUAGGCUCUGAAAUGCACAGUUGGAAAAGGAGGAUGAGAGGCAGAGCUUUCAGCAACAUUUUUUGGGGAUUUGCAGAUAGAAAACGGACACAUAUCUUGAGGAAGAUGGAGGAAGAUCCCUGCAAAGCUUUUCUUGAAGUAGAGGAAGAAAAGUACCUUGUAUUAUCUUGUAAACUCUUGUAUAAGAGCUUCAUUGCUUUUGUAACAUUCAUGAGAAAAAUCAAAAUGUAACAUUCCCUUUUCAAUAUGUUUAAUUCCUUUUUGUACA